UACGUAGGAGGCAAGCGUUGUUCGGAUUUAUUGGGCGUAAAGCGCGUGUAGGCGGUCUUCUACGUCUGAUGUGAAAGCCCUGGGCUCAACCCAGGAAGUGCAUUGGAUACUGGAAGACUUGAAUACGGGAGAGGGUAGUGGAAUUCCUAGUGUAGGAGUGAAAUCCGUAGAUAUUAGGAGGAACACCGGUGGCGAAGGCGGCUACCUGGACCGAUAGUGACGCUGAGACGCGAAAGCGUGGGGAGCAAACAGG
rnacentral:rRNA from 1 species